CUGGUGUUCAGUGGGAAACUGGCCCUUUUAAAAUUAUUUUGUAAAGACAGACUACAUGAUGAUUUUAUUUAAUGAUUUAAUAAAACCUUUCCUCCUGAGAUAGAUGCGAGAAAUCUUGCUGAUCUAUUACUACUGCUACCCGAGCACAGAAGUGCAGUUAUGUAUGAUACAGCAAUGCUAAAGCUAUACACAAAAAAUUAAUAGUAUAUCAGAACGAAGAUCUUACCCUAGCUGGAAAGCUGAUUAGGCACCAGGAAGGUUUCCCACACUGGGGCAAACAUGCUGCUCACUUGGGUCCAGGUCAGUUCCUCUCUGCUAGAGAAUGUCUCAGGAGAAACCUGUCCUGGACCUUGCUGGUGCUCACCCAUGUCCUGUUUGCAUGUAUUUGCACUCUCAGCCUUGACUGCUUCUUUUCAGUUUUCUGAAAGAAGUAGAGAUAGACAUGUUUUAUGGGAUUAGUGGUGAUCUCUCCUCUUGCAGGAAACCCUAGAGCAAAAAGCAGAACUUUCCCAGGACCAUAGUGAGAACCUGACACUCAGCUCUCCAGAUCUUUUCUGCUGCUGUUUUACAUUGCUUCACUGCUUGCCUCCCCUCCCAUCAUACUCAUUUGCUUUCCUCAUGACUGCUACAGUCAUUCAUUGCCCUAGAAAGCAGUGUAGUAAAAUGUUAUCUGUGGUUUUAAUUGAUUUAAAUAUAAUUUAGAGGCUCAUGUUGCAACAUUUCCUUAUCAGGGUCUCCCCCUUGCCCUGUGCAUGCCUGCUUCCUCCCUGCCAGUCCUCCUGCUCUUCUAUGGGCUUUGGUAUCCAGUCCCUGUGGAUACCAUUGAAUGCCCUUCUCAGUAGGAUAUUGGCUUCUCCUUGCCCUGUUUCAUGAGGUGGAUUCCAUCUCUCCCCAGUAAUCCUCAUUUUUCAAAAAGGAUCCCAGGGCUGUAAUUUCUGAAUCAUUUGUGAAUCACCCAAAGGAUGCCAUAGCUACUUUGUAUGUGAUCUGACCCUUAAAAAAAUUUUGCAUUCUUGCUUUUAAAACUGAAUGACAUACCCAAAAGGUUUUGGAGAGAAAAAGCUGCAAGCUUUACUUGGAUGAUAUUGUAAUGAAGUAUUUUGACUUUUUAAAAAUGAAACAUUUUGGUCUGUUUGGAUUAUUUGCCUCAUGUUUCCCAACAGUGGAAGUAUUUUAUGAAUUUUUUUCCACACAUUUGCUCAUAACUUGAUGAAAUUGUGUUAUUUUGAUGCCUUCUGCAUUAUUAACUGUGGUCACUCAUUUGCUCAUUUCCAGAUCCAUCAGUUUUGGGGUUUCCAUUUCUGCCCCAUGUGUUAUCCACACUAUUUUUGAUAUGGAUACAGACAAUGAGCACUGCAAUCUCAAACCAUUUAAAACAAAAAGUAAGUGGGAGUCUGUGGAAGGGAGCUGUGGAAUUUGGACUCUUAAGUGGUAGAUGCGACACAAAUAUCUUGCAAAUGAUUUGAAAAACCCCGUGAACAAAAUAAGGUGCUGGUUUGGUGCCUCUGACUGAAUUGCAAGUCAUCCUCUAGCAUUUUUCUACCUCCUAAACUGCAGCUGUUGUUUGUUGUGGGGCUGCAGGAAUUUUUAGGGAGCAGAUUCUGCAGCUUGAAAUGAGGCAUUGGCUCCUGGUGCACACGGUGGAUCUUCCUGUGGGAAAGAUGAUGCCUGUUCCUCUGUCCCCUCCAGGACACCCAGGCGGAAGACGCCCCAUUCACUUGUGCACAAUGCGAUAAUUGAGAGGGAGUUUCCUGGAGCUGAAUGGUGCCUGCCCAGGGUCAGCAGCUGCUCUUCCAUCUUGCCUUCCUCUGACGUCCCAUAUGAACUCCUGGCAUCGGAUGUUCGAGGGAGUCCUCCAAGAUGAUGAGCCUUUUUGUUGCUAAGAGAUGACUUCCGGAGGAGCAAAAGUCAUUAAUUUGUUGGGAGUGGAUAAGGGACUGUGAGUUAAGACCAGUGGGCUGACCGUGAUCCUGGCGAGCGGAAGGAUGUGUGUGGACUUGUGUGCAAGUAGAAAAUGGACAAGGUUGAUGUUACUGAGCUUCAGCGACGAGGCCUGACCGUUCCUGUCAUUCGAGAUGGCUGUGUGGGAAGAAAAGUGCUGGCAUCAUCCCUGGAGCAUGAAUCCAUAUCCAUAACCUUCACCCUGGGCAGCUCCCUGCCAUGGCUUGUCCUCCUGCCUCUCGCUGGCAAACUCCCAUGAAGCUCUGAAAGCUGCAUCACCUCUUGAGAGCGGAGGUAAGAGCAAGUGUUGGACCAUGGUGAGCAGGCUGGGGUGUAAGGGACAUCC